CCUACGGGAGGCAGCAGUGGGGAAUAUUGGGCAAUGGGCGCAAGCCUGACCCAGCAACGCCGCGUGAAGGAAGAAGGCCCUCGGGUUGUAAACUUCUUUUGUCAGGGACGAAGCAAGUGACGGUACCUGACGAAUAAGCCACGGCUAACUACGUGCCAGCAGCCGCGGUAAUACGUAGGUGGCAAGCGUUAUCCGGAUUUACUGGGUGUAAAGGGCGUGUAGGCGGGGAAGCAAGUCAGAUGUGAAAUUCCAGGGCUCAACCCUGGAACUGCAUUUGAAACUGUUUUUCUUGAGUGAUGGAGAGGCAGGCGGAAUUCCGUGUGUAGCGGUGAAAUGCGUAGAUAUUAGGAGGAACACCAGAGGCGAAGGCGGCUAACUGGACUGCAACUGACGCUGAGGCACGAAAGUGUGGGGAGCAAACAGGAUUAGAUACCCGAGUAGUC
rnacentral:rRNA from 1 species